rnacentral:misc_RNA from 1 species
GUGAAUCAUCGAAUUUUUGAACGCAAAUUGCACUCUCCUCGGUGAGUAUGCCUGUUUGAGGGUCAGCCUCUAAAAAAUCGACAUCGUUGCCGUUGCGCGGUGCCGUUCGUUGGAAAUUGGGGCAUCUUAAAUCCUUUGGUUUUAAGCGACUUAAAAUUUUCUUUUUGGUUCCAUGAACGUUUCUAUGAUUUAUUUCUUUACACGUUUAAGCUACCGAUUUUUAUUAGACGUGACCAUCAUAUCGGAUCGUGUCCAUAAUUUUUUUCGUUAACUGAUCUCAGACAGGUAAGAC